UGAGGAAUAUUGGUCAAUGGGUGCAAGCCUGAACCAGCCAUCCCGCGUGAAGGACGACUGCCCUAUGGGUUGUAAACUUCUUUUGUAUAGGGAUAAACCUUUCCACGUGUGGAAAGCUGAAGGUACUAUACGAAUAAGCACCGGCUAACUCCGUGCCAGCAGCCGCGGUAAUACGGAGGGUGCAAGCGUUAUCCGGAUUUAUUGGGUUUAAAGGGUCCGUAGGCGGACUUAUAAGUCAGUGGUGAAAGCCUGUCGCUUAACGAUAGAACUGCCAUUGAUACUGUAAGUCUUGAGUAUAAUUGAGGUAGCUGGAAUAAGUAGUGUAGCGGUGAAAUGCAUAGAUAUUACUUAGAACACCAAUUGCGAAGGCAGGUUACCAAGUUAUAACUGACGCUGAGGGACGAAAGCGUGGGGAGCGAACAGG
rnacentral:rRNA from 1 species